rnacentral:rRNA from 1 species
AGCAGCCGCGGUAAUUCCAGCUCCAAUAGCGUAUAUUAAAGUUGUUGCAGUUAAAAAGCUCGUAGUUGAAUUUCGGGAUCAAUACGUCGGUCGUGCUUCGGUACGUACUGGCGUAAUUGAUUUCUCCCUUCUGACGAACCAUGAUGUCAUUAACUUGGUGUCAUGGGAAAUCAGGACUGUUACUUUGAAAAAUUAGAGUGUUUAAAGCAGGCUCACGCUUGAAUACAUUAGCAUGGAAUAAUGAAAUAGGACGUUCGAUCCUAUUUGUUGGUUUUUAGGAUCAACGUAAUGAUUAAUAGGGAUAGUU